GAUGAACGCUAGCUACAGGCUUAACACAUGCAAGUCGAGGGGAAACGAUAUUGGAAGCUUGCUUCCGAUAGGCGUCGACCGGCGCACGGGUGAGUAACGCGUAUCCAACCUGCCCAUCACUUGGGGAUAACCUUGCGAAAGUAAGACUAAUACCCAAUGACGUCUCUAGAAGACAUCUGAAAGAGAUUUAAAGAUUUAUCGGUGAUGGAUGGGGAUGCGUCUGAUUAGCUAGUUGGUGAGGUAACGGCCCACCAAGGCGACGAUCAGUAGCCGGCCUGAGAGGGUGAACGGCCACAUUGGGACUGAGACACGGCCCAAACUCCUACGGGAGGCAGCAGUGGGGAAUAUUGCACAAUGGGGGAAACCCUGAUGCAGCGACGCCGCGUGGAGGAAGAAGGUCUUCGGAUUGUAAACUCCUGUUGUUGAGGAAGAUAAAUGACGGUACUCAACAAGGAAGUGACGGCUAACUACGUG
rnacentral:rRNA from 1 species